UCCCUCCCUCUACUGAGCUCAGAGGACUGGUGAAGCAGUUUGAUUUCAGUGUGGUAGUGCAAGUCUUAAUGUGAGGUGAAUCCCAAGACCACAAACAGUUUGGACUUCAAACAGUGAGAAAAUUGGCGCCGGAUGAUUCCGCACACAAAGCAGAAAACUUUCAUUUCCUGCAGGCAGGAUGGAAUUGACUGUUAUAUUAAGACUUCAGAAGGAGCACUGCCCCGGAGUAAUUUCACUGCUGUCAGGCAGUGUUGACAUCUAGAUUAACCUCUGUGCAGUGAAUUUUACAGCAACGCUCAUUGUAAUGCAUGUGGGGUAUCUCCUGUAAAUCCCAGCUGAAGCCCACAGUGUCCCACCCUUCUGCACAGGAGGAAGGGUUGGGGAGCAGCUGCUAUCAUUUCUGACCCCAGCAAAGCAUGACUCCAACCUCAUCCAGGCCACUUCUGCUGAAACUGAUUUUCUGCUGUGCUAAAGUGACAAUAGCUCCAGCCUGUAUUUUUUUUUUCUAAUUCCCCAAAGAGGUUUACAUCACAGGCUGAAAUUUUUGCCAGUGACAAACAGCUCCCUUCAUGUAUCCAGCCAGCAGUACAGUCCUAAUUAAAAGGCACUAGUUAACUAGAGGCAAUUAGCUGCUUGCACUGAUUAUUUCCAAGACAUACAAUCCCCAAACACAAAGCUCUGAUCAGAUGUGAUCUAAAUGGCAGACAAACUCCCAGCUGAUGUGAGAUGGUGGCAUCCAAUCCUACUCACCAGCACACAGGCACAAAAUGAGCCCUGCCUACCAAACCACAAUUGCAUGAAUUAAAGAAAUGCACAGAGUUAACUCAGUGCAAGCCAGAGGACAUUGCAAAAGAAGCCCCUUGGCUCCAGAAAUGAAUGCUGCUGCUGAUAAGUUGAAAGCAUAGGCCUGACCCCAAGUCCUUCUGUCUUUUGCUGUAGGAGGAGCUUGAGCAGUGGGAUUUCCUAGGCAGGACCGCAACAGCUUCUUCACUUUUGUGCUAGCAGAGACAAUCCUGUCUGUGGUUCUUAAGAUGCAUCUCUGAAAAUAACUUUGUGAAAAAAACCCCAAAAAACCCACACUAUCAUGUAAAAAAUAUAGAAAAGAAAGGGAAGGUUUCUUUGUAUAGUUUUGCCACACCUGCUUAUUCAUUCACUUAUUUUCCCACUCAGACAUUGCUCUGCAGUCAUCUGCAGGAGGUUCUAGGCGAGUGAAAAUCUAUCAGGUGCUGAAGAGAUCAACCACUAGCCCUAAGGGCAAAAUUCCAAUAGUACAUCUACAAAUAUCUUUCAGAGCCCAUCUCUCCUCUCACCCACAGCUCUUCACAGUAGCCUUGCCAUUAUAUUUGCCAAAGGUUUUGGACAGCCUGUGAAGAGGUGAGAUAUCUUCAGUUUCCCCUUAACUUCAGGAGGAAUUGUGACAUUUCUGUAAUUCGACCCAUCAGGAGGAUUCCUUCAAACUAACAUUUAUUACCUCCAAUCAGAAUACAGCUGAAAAGGCUACCCAAGGUUAUAGAAAAGGUCAAGCUCUUGCUUUGGACUGGAAUUUGCUUUGGAAGGAAUUUGAUGGACCAAUUUAACCACCACAGCACAUCAAAACCUGGUGGCUUCAUUUAAAAAGUAAUCAGUAUUGUAUUUCGCUUUAGACAUCCGUGCAUUAGUGUUCUGCAAAUAUGAUUUCCUCUUUGUUUGCAUUAUUGAUGCCAUAAAAUGUCAGACACAUUAAAGAAAAAAAAAAAGAGGCCAACCUUUGGGGUUUGGAAUGAUUCUAGCUGAAUUGCAGUUGGGUUACUUUCCUUUUUAUUUCCCAUGGCAGCGAUGCACUGUUACUCAUUCUGCUAUUGUUUUACAAAGAGUUCUCAGUAAGUGUAUUUAUUCAGCCAACCAUAUUUCAGGAAACACAUAACCUUGAUAUUUUUUCCUGUAUGUGGCAGCAUAUGUGAAUGUGUGUUGGGGAGAGGAGGGCAGGUGGAGCUUUUUACAAGAGCCCUCCCAUGUCUGGUAGUGUGUUGGCUUUGUGCAAUGCUCCAUGAAUCCCUCCUGCUCAGGUGCCUGGCUUGAUUUAACCUCAAGAACUGACUUUUGUAAUCAGGAUUUAAGGUCUUCCGGUUUAGCACUGCCCAGGAUCUGUCAUCUGCUCUCACCAUUCAGCAGCCAUCUGCUAUCCACAGAGGUUCCUAGAUGUCUAUGCCACAGAGAUUACACAGUAAUUGAGUCUCAGGCAUGCGAUACAGGAGUUUUAGCUCAUUCUGAUCCUGGACCAACUGCAAGUUUGCUGAUUUAGCUUGGUUCCCACCCAAGGUUCACUGACUACAGUUCCCAAGACAAAUACUCUUAGCUGCUCAGUGCUGUUUCUCACACACCAUUACAAUACAAGCCUUGGCGGCUGUAGCUCUCUGCCUCACCUCUCUGUAAUGAAUGCAGGUCCAUUUUUCAGUGAUCCUGGAAAUUUUUUGAAGGAUAUUCUCCCUCCUAAAAUCUAAGACAUUCUCAAAUAUUCUGUCUUCUUGAAAAGUGAAGAAAUAAGGUGGAAAUAUUCCCCCUGUGUAGAUAUUUUCAUCAGUGGUAAAAUUUCAGCUUUUCCUCUCAAUGACAGCAGGACUUGGGUGCAGGAGAAGAAUACAGUGGAGCAGUCUAAGGAAGGGUCUCAGCUAGGACUGCAAAGUCAUCUGUUCACCUACUGAGCCAUCACCUCCUCAUACAGGAAGAUAUCCCCAGCUUUUUUUGAGCUUCAGAUUCCUGCCCAGCUCUCUUGCUCCUACUCCAGUGCUGAGGAAUGACCUUCAGAUGACCUUCAGAUUUCCUUAUCUUCACAGAUCCUUCCCAGGACUAUCCAAACAGCCCAAAGAAGUGAUGACAGGGUCUGAAUGGGUGUGUAAUUCAGUGUCUUUCUCUCCCUUUUUCAUCAGGGCAGAGAUAGUGAAAGUGGCAGAACAGAAAUAUUAUUUUCCCCAACAGCAGUGAUCCAGUUUCUUUUUAAACUCCGAUUUUUAAGAUGCCAUACAGCAGUACCUAUAAAUAUGCCUUGAUAUGUUGAAUGAGCACACGAGUAUAUUUGAUUUUGUUUUUAUGCCUAUAAUUUCUCUCACCAAGAAUUCAGCCGUUACUCAGCUCCCAGCAGGUUGUUCUGAUUGCUGGAGAGAUGGUUGGGAUUGAUUCCGGCUGUGACCUGUUCCAGUCCGGCCUCAUUCUUAUGUAGCUAGAUUGAAACAAUAGAAAUCAGCAAGAGACUGAAUUGUUGUUCCUGUGCAACUGAACCUUCUUGUGCAACUCCAGGCUAAAUGUAGCAGGCGUUGAUGACCCACAACUUUGAAGUCAGUAAAGCUGUAGAUACUGAGAGGCACUGUUAGGAACAGAACGGCAGGAGAGAGAGAAAUGCUACAAGAGGAAAAAAAACCCAACCAACAAACAUUACAUCAGAAAAGACAGUGGUUGAUUUAUAAUAUAAGAAAAUCCACUGCUGUACAUGAGAAAAGACACAGAAUAUUCACCCUGGUAACCAAGAACAUUGGCCACUAGGACAAGAGCAGCUCAAACCUCCUCUCACUUUUAAUUUCCUUUUUCUCCUUCUCCUGCUAAUACAGAACAAAUCCUGGCUUAUGGCCUUCCUGGAGACUGAAAUUAAGAGGCAGAUUUAGGAGAGGUGGAGAGAGACUGGAUCCUGCUGGAUGAUGCAACAGCUUUAUAGCCCAGCACCUCUCAGCAGCAAGUGCCUGGUGUGCCCUUGCUUUUAUUUAUUUUUUUAAUUACAACCCCUAAUUGCUUCAAGUAGUGUUCACAAAGAGCCUACAACAGUUCAGUCCCCAGACUCCUGGUAAGACGGAGAUUUCAGCAGACGGACAGACGGACAGCCGCGUCCCUGCGGAUCAGCACCGCGGACAGCGGCACCGCCCGCUCCGGCCGCCGCCGCGGGAGGAGCCGCGCCUUCCAUGGAGGAAUCCCACUUUGGAUGGAGUCAUGCCCACACUGCCCGCGGAACUGCUGUCUCACCCACAGUUCGUUUCUCCCAUGUGUUUUUCUAGUGUGAAAUCAUUAUAUGGUAUCUUGUUUUCAGGUGGUGGAGGAGGGAUGGUUUAAAACAGAAACCAAUCAUUCCAAUGCAAGAGAGAACCAGUUUUUCCUUCAGAGUUAAACUCUCUGCCCCACUUUUUCCUGCACUGGUGUUCCACCUACGAAGGCUCCAACUCUAGUUUGGACUGUGGAAGGUUCUUAUCUUCUCAUCCAUUGAGACAGUUUGACAAAUGGAGAGAUACUAUGCUGGUAGCUCUUUAGAAACAGAAUCCUUAUUUUAUUGGAAGCAUCAUGUGAUUCAGAUUUCAUCCAUCAAUUGCACUUACUGUUUGUAAAGGGCAAACAGACAAAUCUCU
rnacentral:lncRNA from 1 species